rnacentral:rRNA from 1 species
UAGUUACUUUAAAAUUAAGAGAUUUGGCGGUGGUUUAAUCUUUUUAGAGGAACUUGUUUGUUAAGUCGAUAAUACUCGCAAUAUCUUACUUACUCUUGUAAAGCUUAAGUUUGUAUACCGUCAUUAUCAGGUAAUUCUAAGAGGAACGAAUUUCUUUAGUUAAUUUAUUAAAAAAAUUAGAUCAAGGUGCAGCCAAUGAGUAAGUAAAAAUGAGUUACAGUAAUUUCUUUUAUACGAAUAAAUUAAUUAAAUUUAAUUUUGAAGGAGGAUUUAAUUGUAGUGAAAGUUUAACAAGCUUUUAUGAAAUAAGCUCUAAACCAUGUACAUAUCGCCCGUCGCUUCCAUUUACAAGUGGAAUAAGUCGUAACAUAGUAGGUGUACUGGAAAGUGCAUCUGGAAUUAAG